UAAGUUAGAUUGAGAUUUAGGCAAAAAAAAAUUUAAAAAAAAUACAAACAUAUAUGAAUUUGCAUUUGGCCAUCACUAUGGGUUUGAGUUUACUAGAACUAGAUAGCUCUUAUUUCACUCAAAACCUACAUCAACAAAGAGGAGUUAUGUUUUUUUCUUCCAUUUUCUGAAGUUGUUAUAGUUUUUGAGUUUACUAGAACUAGAUAGCUCUGAUUUUGCAGGACAAUUGUUUACAAAGGUCAACUAAAGCCAGAUCAGCCAGAAUAAGAUGAAGAAGCUUCUACCCGUCGUGGAUUCUAGCUCUUCUAAUUCAGGACUUUUACAUCUCCCUGAACUUCCCACCCCAACUCACUGGAUGGUAUUUUGUUGGUGGUGACCCCUAUAAAGAAAGCUGGGAAGGAAUCAAAUGCUCUGGAGAUGCCAUUCAUUCCAUGUAACGCAUAACCUUUUGUUCUUAUCUUUGUCCUCAAUUUCUCUUAUUGUACAAACUGUUUUUACUAUCGAAAAACAGUAGAAGCCAUCAAGGGUGGUGGAGGCUUAGUUCGCAUUGGGGCCACAGGAACAAUUGACUCCUUAAUGACCAGGAAAUUGAAUCCAUGAUGAAAAAAAAUGUCACAAACAUCAACUUCCUCAAGACGGAGACCUCCAACAGUCUCAAUCUCAGUGCCCUAUGGUGCAAUUCCCAAAAAAAAACACAACUAAGGAAAAAUUCUCUAAAUGAAGCCAGCAGCAGCGGUAGGAGCAGCAAUGACAGAAAUCCUGGAUGUACAGCAGCAGCAGCAAUGGCAGUUUGUUUGUUUUGAAAACUUUAAAUAGACCAUUAAUUGUUUUGUUGGUAUUGUGCUAAUUGUUGUCUUGAUGGAUGUUAAAUGGGUGAAACAUGCAUAGGUUCAAUCACUAUUUGAUUAUAAUAUUGUUAACUUUUGUUGAUAGAAACUAGAUUUAA